rnacentral:rRNA from 1 species
UACAGAGGGUGCAAGCGUUACUCGGAAUUACUGGGCGUAAAGCGUGCGUAGACGGUUAUGUAAGUCAGAUGUGAAAGCCCCGGGCUCAACCUGGGAAUUGCAUUUGAGACUGCAUAGCUAGGGUGCGGAAGAGGGAAGCGGAAUUUCCGGUGUAGCGGUGAAAUGCGUAGAUAUCGGAAGGAACACCAGUGGCGAAAGCGGCUUCCUGGUCCAGCACCGACGUUCAGGCACGAAAGCGUGGGGAGCAAACAGG